ensembl:lncRNA
CAUCAUUGAGCUUUGAUUAUUAAAUCAUAAUUUGUUUAAUAGGACAACGCACAGGUGAUGACAUCAUUGAGCCUUGAUUAUUAAAUCAUUGAGCGUUGAUUAUUAAAUCAUUGAGCUUUGAUUAUUAAAUCAUUGAGCUUUGAUUAUUAAAUCAUUGAGCUUUGAUUAUUAAAACAUUGAGCUUUGAUUAUUAAAUCAUUGAGCGUUGAUUAUUAAAUCAUUGAGCUUUGAUUAUAAAAUCAUUGAGCUUUAGACCGAGUUUGGGAAACCCUGAAAUAGACUAGAUCAACGUAUCAAACUGCUGACACAAGACAAUACUUUUUUCUAAGUGUGGGCUGGAGGCUUAACUUGACUAAGGCUGUCAGGGUCUGGACAGACCAGAAUUAUUCUUUGUCAGAAUGUAAUGUGGCCACAGUGAACGAGGUACAUGUGUAGCGUCUCUCGGCUGGUAUUCUUUGUAAAAGUAAAUUGGUAUUUUACUUACAGGAGGAACACUUGUUUAAACAAUCUAAGGUGCUAAAAAUAACACAAUUAAACAGUGAUGUAUAGAUUAUAGUGAAACAUAUGUAGAAUUAUGGAUCAGCACAGCCAAGUCAAUGAGCAAAAGUGGGGGAUCUAUAAACCUGUAAAUGUUCCAAGAUGCACCAGAGGACCGUGUUUGAAAGAUUAUGAAAUGAAAUGUGAGUGGUGGGAACAGAAACAUUUAUACCAGUUGAUUUGAUCUGUGUCCAUGAUAUAUACUAUACAAUAGUCUGCUGGUCUCUGCACUUCUGCUGGAAUAUAUUAUAUUCAUAUCAAAACAACCAGGUGGCAUUCAAGUGUUGACGUUCAUUAUUCAAACAAGGUGCCAUUGGACAAUUAUGUUUUGUUGUUUAACUUGCUGAAUUUCGUCUCAGACCCUGUUAUCUGUUCUGUUUUUAAUUAUUAUAUACUGCUGGGUUUAUUUCUCUGUAUGGUUGUGUUUAUUUCACAGAGACUUGAUAUGUAAACCUAUUUUCAGAGUGUUUAUGUAGAAAGUGCCUAAUCAUAUCCCGAUUGAUCGCACAAAGCCAAUGUCAGGAAGCAUGCGAUGUACUGUACCUACGGAGAAAAACAUGGCUUUGGAGAGAAAAAGAUCACCUGAAUCCAUCAUUCUUUAGGACUACUGUAUAUUCAAGUAUCAUACCAUAUAUCAAUCCAAAAACCAUCACUAAAUUCAGUCCGGUGACAGUCUUCCCUUAACCAACUCAGUAUCCCCACGCAAUGCGUUCCAUCUUGUCAACAUUCUAAGCCUUUUCAUGUUCUAUUGGAACUGCCUGUUGAAACCAUGAGAAUUCCAUUCCAUAACUUUUGUGGUUUUAUUGCCUUGCAUUCAUCAUUCAGAUAGUGGUAAGAAUGCCAGCUAAUGCACUGCUGUGGCAAUACGGGAAGGUUUUAUUAUGCUUGCAUGGGUAAAAUAGUUAACUGGGUGACUGAACUGCACCCAAAGCAUGCUUAUUUUUCUAAAAUCGGUAGUCAGAUAGACUUGUAAAAGACUUACUGUUCUGUAAAGCGAAGAACGUUUGUAUGACGUGUCACAGAACUCUGAAAGAUGGAGGGCAGUUGAUUGGAAGGCAGAGAAGAAUCCUAAAAAUACAAACUAUGAUCAAUCUGCAGUAUUUACUGACCAUGUUUGUUGGGGUAGCAUGAGGGCAAGUUUUUCUAGAAGCAAGUUUUUUAAAAUUAAUUUAUUAAUUUUUAUUAAUUUGGAUCUAAAAAUAGUGUGCUCCCAAACCAACAGUAUACCGCAAGUAUUUUACGAGGCAACAACACACAGACACACACACACACACACACGCAGGCGACAGUACAUUGCACUGCACACAUCCAGAUAUGUCAGGGCAUAGUCAGUCUCACUUGUACACAGUUCAGCAGAGAGAGCUCAUCAUGUGUUAUUUUCCUAGCCUGCUCCUAGUCCUAGAGAACCGCUCACCUCCCUUCUGUAUUUUACUCAGGGUGCCAAAAUGGGGAGGAGGAAGUGGAGCAGGACGUUGAUGGUGAUUCAGUGUAGAGAGAGGACACACUAUUGAAAUAGGAUACAGAGCUUUCUGGAUAAAACAGGCAAAUUACUACUGAUCCUGGAUGCAUUAUUGGUAUCCAUUUCCUCUCAAGUAAGUAAGGUGAGCUGAGGAGAGACGUAAUGGCACGAUAACAGAACUAGGGGAUACAAGUCAUUCUAGUAUAGAUAAUUAUAAUUAGGACAAGCUCAUCACAAUUGACCGUAUGGUCAAUUGUUUCUGUCUUGGCUACAGCUCUGACAAAUUAAUUUGUAGGCAUUAUGGAACACUAGGGCUUAAAGUCUUACGUAAAUGCUUACCUUUCUUUUGUAGACUAUGCUUAUGAGUCUAGUAACACUUUAACCUUUGACCUCCUCUGGCUUGAUGGUUCUCAUUAAAACAAGGACUUGCUGUGUGUAUCUAUGGUUAUGUCAUAACAUCACACACAGCUUCAAAUAGUCUAUAAAGCUAUUCUCAGUUAUACAACAUUUAAUCUCAGUUAAGAUAUGGAUGAUGACAUGAUGUAACAUCUGAAUGAGGUCUUCCUGAGACGUACGUUGGGGUAGUUGAAGAUGAGGUCUUCCUGAGACAUACGUUGGGGUAGUUGAAGAUGAGGUCUUCCUGAGACAUACGUUGGGGUAGUUGAAGAUGAAGUCUUCCUGAGACGUACGUUGGGGUAGUUGAAGAUGAGGUCUUCCUGAGACAUACGUUGGGGUAGUUGAAGAUGAGGUCUUCCUGAGACGUACGUUGGGGUAGUUGAAGAUGAGGUCUUCCUGAGACGUACGUUGGGGUAGUUGAAGAUGACCAGAUCUUUUGGGACGGUUUUAAAAAAAGGCCUUCAGGUAUGGCCAUCUUCUGGAUGGUAUGACAGGUUAGCUAUAACAGGCACUUCAUAUGGAUUUUAUUACCUUCAUUACACUCUACUAAUUGACCUGAGGGACUGGACGGUAUCUCCUCCUCUUCCUUUGUCAAUGCACUCAAACUACUGAAAGGUAGGCACAUCAAGACAACAGAGCAGAAACCAUCUCACAACCUUUUCCACUUGUGGACACAGAGCAAUAAGCAUUCUUUUGUGGAGACCUAUAGACCUAGUGAAGAUAAAAAUGAUUGGACACAUGUAGUCGACGUACUCUUAUGCAAAUGCCAGUAUUGCAAGACAAGCAUUCAGUAGUUUAUGGACAGCAAUUGUAUGGCACCCUUUACCGAACUGCACGUUUUCAUCAAUUCCAAACCAAGAAGAAAAAAAUGGCCCUGCUUAAAUACAAAGUCGUGGGUCCUUGACACUUUGCAUGUGAACUAGUGUUAGAGCUAUUUUCCUCUCCUCUAUAACUGUCUUCCUCUCGGUCUUUCCCUGUUAUGUGACCCUCUCUUUCUUUCCUUCCCCUAUUAUUUCACCCACUCCUUAUUUUCGUUUCCCCUAUUGUGUUUUGCUUUCUCUCCUUUUUCUUCCCCCUCUUCCUUGUUUGUAAGUUUUAUUUUUGUAAUUGUGCAUGUACAAGCGUCACUGACUCGAUGGAUAUGUUUAAAAAAAAGCUGCUGAAGCCAUGCAAAACGUUUUGAAAUGCCCUUAAAAUAUGGAAGAUGUUUUCUGAAUGCUUUAUAUUCUUUCUGCUGUAAAAUAAUUAAAAAAAAUAAAAAAUGAAGAAA